rnacentral:tRNA from 1 species
GCCCGGAUGGCGGAAUUGGUCAGACGCGGCCGGCUUAAACCCGGCUGCCGCAAGGCGUGCGGGUUCGAGUCCCGCUCCGGGCA